UUAAGCGACUAAGCGUACACGGUGGAUGCCCUGGCAGUCAGAGGCGAUGAAGGACGUGCUAAUCUGCGAUAAGCGUCGGUAAGGUGAUAUGAACCGUUAUAACCGGCGAUUUCCGAAUGGGGAAACCCAGUGUGAUUCGUCACACUAUCAUUAACUGAAUCCAUAGGUUAAUGAGGCGAACCGGGGGAACUGAAACAUCUAAGUACCCCGAGGAAAAGAAAUCAACCGAGAUUCCCCCAGUAGCGGCGAGCGAACGGGGAGGAGCCCAGAGCCUGAAUCAGUGUGUGUGUUAGUGGAAGCGUCUGGAAAGGCGCGCGAUACAGGGUGACAGCCCCGUACACAAAAAUGCACAUACUGUGAGCUCGAUGAGUAGGGCGGGACACGUGGUAUCCUGUCUGAAUAUGGGGGGACCAUCCUCCAAGGCUAAAUACUCCUGACUGACCGAUAGUGAACCAGUACCGUGAGGGAAAGGCGAAAAGAACCCCGGCGAGGGGAGUGAAAAAGAACCUGAAACCGUGUACGUACAAGCAGUGGGAGCCUCUUUAUGGGGUGACUGCGUACCUUUUGUAUAAUGGGUCAGCGACUUAUAUUCUGUAGCAAGGUUAACCGAAUAGGGGAGCCGAAGGGAAACCGAGUCUUAACUGGGCGUUAAGUUGCAGGGUAUAGACCCGAAACCCGGUGAUCUAGCCAUGGGCAGGUUGAAGGUUGGGUAACACUAACUGGAGGACCGAACCGACUAAUGUUGAAAAAUUAGCGGAUGACUUGUGGCUGGGGGUGAAAGGCCAAUCAAACCGGGAGAUAGCUGGUUCUCCCCGAAAGCUAUUUAGGUAGCGCCUCGUGAAUUCAUCUCCGGGGGUAGAGCACUGUUUCGGCAAGGGGGUCAUCCCGACUUACCAACCCGAUGCAAACUGCGAAUACCGGAGAAUGUUAUCACGGGAGACACACGGCGGGUGCUAACGUCCGUCGUGAAGAGGGAAACAACCCAGACCGCCAGCUAAGGUCCCAAAGUCAUGGUUAAGUGGGAAACGAUGUGGGAAGGCCCAGACAGCCAGGAUGUUGGCUUAGAAGCAGCCAUCAUUUAAAGAAAGCGUAAUAGCUCACUGGUCGAGUCGGCCUGCGCGGAAGAUGUAACGGGGCUAAACCAUGCACCGAAGCUGCGGCAGCGACACUAUGUGUUGUUGGGUAGGGGAGCGUUCUGUAAGCCUGUGAAGGUGUACUGUGAGGUAUGCUGGAGGUAUCAGAAGUGCGAAUGCUGACAUAAGUAACGAUAAAGCGGGUGAAAAGCCCGCUCGCCGGAAGACCAAGGGUUCCUGUCCAACGUUAAUCGGGGCAGGGUGAGUCGACCCCUAAGGCGAGGCCGAAAGGCGUAGUCGAUGGGAAACAGGUUAAUAUUCCUGUACUUGGUGUUACUGCGAAGGGGGGACGGAGAAGGCUAUGUUGGCCGGGCGACGGUUGUCCCGGUUUAAGCGUGUAGGCUGAUUUUCCAGGCAAAUCCGGAAAAUCAAGGCUGAGGCGUGAUGACGAGGCACUACGGUGCUGAAGCAACAAAUGCCCUGCUUCCAGGAAAAGCCUCUAAGCAUCAGGUAACAUCAAAUCGUACCCCAAACCGACACAGGUGGUCAGGUAGAGAAUACCAAGGCGCUUGAGAGAACUCGGGUGAAGGAACUAGGCAAAAUGGUGCCGUAACUUCGGGAGAAGGCACGCUGAUAUGUAGGUGAAGCGACUUGCUCGUGGAGCUGAAAUCAGUCGAAGAUACCAGCUGGCUGCAACUGUUUAUUAAAAACACAGCACUGUGCAAACACGAAAGUGGACGUAUACGGUGUGACGCCUGCCCGGUGCCGGAAGGUUAAUUGAUGGGGUUAGCGGUAACGCGAAGCUCUUGAUCGAAGCCCCGGUAAACGGCGGCCGUAACUAUAACGGUCCUAAGGUAGCGAAAUUCCUUGUCGGGU
rnacentral:rRNA from 1 species